rnacentral:rRNA from 1 species
CCUACGGGCGGCAGCAGUGGGGAAUAUUGGACAAUGGGGGCAACCCUGAUCCAGCCAUGCCGCGUGUGUGAAGAAGGCCCUCGGGUUGUAAAGCACUUUCAGUGAGGAAGAACGCCUGGUGGUUAAUACCCAUCAGGAAAGACAUCACUCACAGAAGAAGCACCGGCUAACUCCGUGCCAGCAGCCGCGGUAAUACGGAGGGUGCGAGCGUUAAUCGGAAUUACUGGGCGUAAAGCGCGCGUAGGUGGCUUGAUAAGCCGGUUGUGAAAGCCCCGGGCUCAACCUGGGAACGGCAUCCGGAACUGUCAAGCUAGAGGGCAGGAGAGGAAGGUAGAAUUCCCGGUGUAGCGGUGAAAUGCGUAGAGAUCGGGAGGAAUACCAGUGGCGAAGGCGGCCUUCUGGACUGACACUGACACUGAGGUGCGAAAGCGUGGGUAGCAAACAUGAUUAGAUACCCUUGUAGUC